rnacentral:rRNA from 1 species
CGCGUAGGCGGUUUGGUCAGUCAGAUGUGAAAGCCCUGGGCUCAACCUGGGAACUGCAUUUGAUACUGCCAGACUGGAGUGUGGUAGAGGGAAGUGGAAUUCCGGGUGUAGCGGUGAAAUGCGUAGAUAUCCGGAGGAACAUCAGUGGCGAAGGCGACUUCCUGGACCAACACUGACGCUGAGGUGCGAAAGCGUGGGUAGCAAACA